ACGCUCGACACCUACGGGAGGAGCAGUGGGGAAUAUUGCACAAUGGGGGGAAACCCUGAUGCAGCGACGCCGCGUGAGCGAAGAAGUAUUUCGGUAUGUAAAGCUCUAUCAGCAGGGAAGAAACCUGACGGUACCUGACUAAGAAGCACCGGCUAAAUACGUGCCAGCACGCCGGAGGUAACUCGUAGGAGGCGGGCGUGGACGAAGGC
rnacentral:rRNA from 1 species